GGGGAACAUGUGGAACUGUUGCCCUAGGAAGAAAGCAGAAGUUUUGGCCCAACUUGACAACUGUUUUAGGGCUCCUCCUGCUGCCCCGCACGACUCACCACACGCCUGUCUAAAGUGAUGCUUGCGUGGGUUUUCUCCAGCUGCUCCAACUUCUUCCCGCAUCCCAGGAAGGGGCACGUUAGAUCAAUUGAAGAUGUCUACCUUCUGCCUUCAACGCGACAAAAACCUUCAAACCUGACACAA